GAGAAAUAAUUUUUACAUAUUAUUUAAUAUUUAGUUUUCUUGAUCCAAUUUUAUCUACUUUUUUGUGAUAUGCUCCUAUCAUUUUACAUCUGAUUUAUAUCUUAUAUCUAUCUUUUUGUGUCUUAUAUCUUAUAAAAGCUAUGUUAUUAAUCCCUUAACAGUGCAUUUUUAUCAGAGGUUAAAAAGGUUCACUACUUCACAUGGUUUUACGUCUUGUGAUAGUGAUCUAUAAUAUUUAGCCUCUAUGAUACUGCUGCAGUAUAGUGUUUCACUGGAAUUUUUCAUUUUCACUUCAAUGCCAUAAAACUGCAACCUCAAAUUUAUUGCAAUAUUUACAUAUAUGACAGCUGUUAAAACUACAGUAGUUGAAAUACACUUAGGGAAUAGUUACUGGGGCAAAUGUGUGUAUACACACACACACUUUCAUGUAAGUUAUUUAUUGUAAUGUUGAACUUUUAUUCCCUCGUGGUGAAUAAAAGGACAUAAAUGUUGAUAUUUAUGUUAUAAAGUUACCUGCUUCCCUUACUUCAUUCAUGAAUUUCUUUAUUCAUAUCAAUACUUACUGAAAAGUUUAUAAAGAACCUACUAUGUGCCAAGCAGUGAGCAAAACACAGCAUAGUUGGGGAGACGGACACAUAAGUGGAAAAACAGUAUUGCCAUAUGGCGAGAACUGUUGAAAGGGUAUAAUCAACAUAGUUUGGAAUCACACAGGGGAAUGGGAGACGGUGACCCUUGAGCUGGGUGUUAGAGGAUGAAUGAGCAUUUACCAGGCAGAAGAAAUAGCAUUUGCACCUGCAUGGAGCCAUGAAAGGAGAAAGAAUGAUUGAGGCAGGAAAUAAAGUGCAAAAAGGAGGUUUGGACCAGCUUGUGAUGGGUCUUGUAUGCCAAGCUAAGGAAUUUGGAUUACAUAUUGCAGGUCAUGGAAGUCAACAGAGAUUGCUUUGCAUUGGAGACUGUCAGAAUCAGUUUGGGCUGGAAAGAACAUUCUGCAACAAUGUGAGGAAAGAUUAGAUUGGAAAGAAAACUGGUAAUAGGAGCACUAGGGAUAGGCUGAGUUCAGUGCAAAAGAAAAGGAGGACUGAAAGCUUUGGCAGUCUCUGAGGAUGGGAAGAAAGAAGACAAUUUGAUUGGCAAGAAUGACAAUAUUUAAUGAAACGAUGAAAGCAAGAGCAGGAUGAAGAAGAAAGAAGAUAGGGAAUAUAAUUUUUAAAAGAAGGUUGGGUGUGAAAAUUAGAUGGCCUGGAAAGUAACUUGAAGAAAGGUUAGAAUCAAACAACUUUUUAAAGGUCUUCCACUAUAGGAAAUGGGAAUUUAAAGAUGAUCAGAAGACAGUUGGGAGCAGAGUGAGAAUAAGAACCCUCAACUGCUGUCUCACCUUUCAGAUCACGAAGAAGUUUUUUACAAUGAGCAGAACACUCAACCUGAAAGCAGAAUGGAUUGAGUCACUGCAGCGUGGCAGUGGAAUGGUGUUUGAUGUUGGCAAAGGAAACAUGUACUUCUAGACUGGACAGUUUUCCCUUAGUUUACAGUUUCCAAAUAGAGACAUCACUUUGAAAUAACAUGGAGAACAUACAUGGAUGUACUGAACGAAGAAUAAAGUCUGUGUUGCAGUCCUGUCUCCAUUGACUUUUACAAAUAUGGCUUUGGAUGAAUCACCUAAGUUUUAUUUUUGAGAAUUUACGCUUACCAUGUAUAAAAUGAUAUUGCUAAUAUGUUUGCUGCCUACCCCAUUGGGUUUUGUGAGGAA
rnacentral:lncRNA from 1 species